rnacentral:rRNA from 1 species
ACGGGAGGCAGCAGUGAGGAAUAUUGGUCAAUGGGCGGAAGCCUGAACCAGCCAAGUCGCGUGAAGGAUGAAGGUAUUAUGUAUUGUAAACUUCUUUAGCAGUGGAGUAAUAAGGGGAUCGUGAUCCCUGAUGCAAGUACACUGAAAAUAAGGAUCGGCUAACUCCGUGCCAGCAGCCGCGGUAAUACGGAGGCUCCGAGCGUUAUCCGGAUUUAUUGGGUUUAAAGGGUGCGCAGGCGGCUUUUUAAGUCAGCGGUAAAAUCGUGGGGCUCAACCCCAUCCUGCCGUUGAUACUGGAGAGCUUGAUUGCGGUUGAGUUUGGCGGAAUUCGUCGUUUAGCGGUGAAAUGCAUAGAUAUGACGAAGAACUCCGAUUGCGUAGGCAGCUGACCAAGCCGUAAAUGACGCUCAUGCACGAAAGUGCGGGGAUCGAACAGGAUUAGAUACCCUGGUA